rnacentral:rRNA from 1 species
UACGAGGGGGGCAAGUGUUGUUCGGAAUCACUGGGCGUAAAGGGAGCGUAGGCGGAUGUUUAAGUUGGAUGUUUAAAACCGGGACCCAACCCCGGGGCGGCAUCCAAAACUGGGCAUCUUGAAUGGAACAGAGGCUAGUGGAAUUGGGGGUGUAGCGGUGGAAUGCGUAGAGAUCCCCAAGAACACCAAUUGCGAAGGCAGCUAGCUGGGUUCACAUUGACGCUGAGGCUCGAAAGCAUGGGGAGCAAACAGG